AGACGGGGCCCGCACAAGCGGUGGAUUAUGUGGAUUAAUUCGAUGCAACGCGAAAACCUUACCUGGCCUUGACAUGUAGCGAACUUUCCAGAGAUGGAUUGGUGCUCGAAAGAGAACGCUAACACAGGUGCUGCAUGGCUGUCGUCAGCUCGUGUCGUGAGAUGUUGGGUUAAGUCCCGCAACGAGCGCAACCCUUGCCAUUAAUUGCCAUCAUUUAGUUGGGCACUUUAAUGGGACUGCCGGUGACAAACCGGAGGAAGGUGGGGAUGACGUCAAGUCCUCAUGGCCCUUAUGGCCAGGGCUUCACACGUAAUACAAUGGUCGGUACAGAGGGUUGCCAAGCCGCGAGGUGGAGCCAAUCCCAGAAAGCCGAUCGUAGUCCGGAUUGUAGUCUGCAACUCGACUACAUGAAGUCGGAAUCGCUAGUAAUCGCGGAUCAGCAUGUCGCGGUGAAUACGUUCCCGGGCCUU
rnacentral:rRNA from 1 species